rnacentral:rRNA from 1 species
GAGUUUGAUCCUGGCUCAGGAUGAACGCUGGCGGCGUGCCUAACACAUGCAAGUCGAGCGAAGCGCUAUACUUGAAUUCUUCGGAAGGAAAGUAUUGUGACUGAGCGGCGGACGGGUGAGUAACGCGUGGGUAACCUGCCUCAUACAGGGGGAUAACAGUUAGAAAUGACUGCUAAUACCGCAUAAGACCACAGCACCGCAUGGUGCGGGGGUAAAAACUCCGGUGGUAUGAGAUGGACCCGCGUCUGAUUAGCUAGUUGGUAAGGUAAGGGCUUACCAAGGCGACGAUCAGUAGCCGACCUGAGAGGGUGACCGGCCACAUUGGGGCUGAGACACGGCCCAAACUCCUACGGGAGGCAGCAGUGGGGAAUAUUGCACAAUGGGGGAAACCCUGAUGCAGCGACGCCGCGUGAGUGAUGAAGUAUUUCGGUAUGUAAAGCUCUAUCAGCAGGGAAGAAAAUGACGGUACCUGACUAAGAAGCACCGGCUAAAUACGUGCCAGCAGCCGCGGUAAUACGUAUGGUGCAAGCGUUA